AUCUGACGACAAAUUGCAGAAAAAAGUCGAAAUUUCUGCAAGUUGUCGUCAAAUCCG
ensembl:ncRNA C50A2.5 ncRNA